AUAUGCCGAUAGCCGCCAUAUUGUUUCUAUACCGGCGUUCCUUCUUCUUGGAUGUUCUCUUUAUUCCUUGCCUUCAGUUCUCUAUACCGUGCUUGCCUUUUUCUCCCCGUCCGUUCGCCGUCUGUAGCCGCAGUUCUCAUUCUUCUAUAUACCCUGCUGUGUAAACCCUAAACAGCAACGAUGGCCACCCGCAACUGGAAUCUGGAGUGCAAGGUAUAUGUCGGAAAUCUUGGCAACAGUGCUGCCAAGAAUGAGAUUGAAGAUGCCUUCAGCAAGUACGGGAAUCUGCGCAACGUGUGGAUUGCGCGCAACCCUCCCGGCUUUGCAUUUGUGGAGUUUGAGGACCCACGGGAUGCUGAGGACGCAGUGCGAGGACUGGAUGGAACUCGGCUGUGCGGCGAGCGGGUCCGUGUGGAGAUGUCGUCCGGCAAGAGCCGCAGCCGCGGUGGUAUGCGCGGCGGCGGCGGCUACGGCGGUGGUGGUUUCGGCGGCAGGAGGUCGCCGGGCCGCCGCUCCAUCUCGCCGCGGCGCCGGUCACGCAGCCGCAGCCCGCGUGGUUCGCCCGUCUACGACCGCUACAGGAGAUAAGCGUUGCCGCCCACAACCUGCCACCUGCGAUGGCGCCGCGACUUCACUUCAGAACCUUGGUCCAGGAGCCGCGACUGAAGAGGUCCGCCGCCACCGACACUGGCCACUGUUGUCAGCGUUUGACGCCCCCGGAUGACGCCGGCACCCCCCCCCCCUCCCCAGCGCCGCCCAUACCCCCCUCCCUCGCUUCUGAAACGUGUGCGCUCAGAGGCCGGCCACGAGCCCUGCAGAAUAUCAGCUGUCUAUGAUCUGGCUGGUGGUGUAAUUUGCAUGACUGAGGAGUUCAGCUCACGGUAGCGGUUUGUGGCAUUCCAUUAUUUCAUCUGAGAUCGUGACGUCGGUGUAUGAACGUCAGAAAUACACGUUCAGCGAUUUU
rnacentral:misc_RNA from 1 species